UACGUAGGCAGCGAGCGUUGUUCGGAAUUACUGGGCGUAAAGCGUGCGCAGGCGGUUUGUUAAGUCUGCUGUGAAAUCCCCGAGCUCAACUUGGGAAUUGCAGUGGAUACUGGCAAGCUGGAGUACGGUAGAGGAAGGUGGAAUUCCCGGUGUAGCAGUGAAAUGCGUAGAGAUCGGGAGGAACACCAGUGGCGAAGGCGGCCUUCUGGACCAGUACUGACGCUCAUGCACGAAAGCGUGGGGAGCAAACAGG
rnacentral:rRNA from 1 species